AUAGAGAUGGCGGGCCCCCGCGCCCCCGUCCCCAACCCUUUGUUGACCUAACCCAUUUUGCCUCGGGGGCAGAGCGUCCGCCGCCGCCCCCGGAGGACCACCGAACGCUGUCUCUGUACGUCGGAGUAUUGAUUAAAUGAAUGA
rnacentral:misc_RNA from 1 species